rnacentral:rRNA from 1 species
GAUUCUGGCUCAGGACGAACGCUGGCGGCGUGCCUAAUACAUGCAAGUCGAGCGGACAGAUGGGAGCUUGCUCCCUGAUGUUAGCGGCGGACGGGUGAGUAACACGUGGGUAACCUGCCUGUAAGACUGGGAUAACUCCGGGAAACCGGGGCUAAUACCGGAUGGUUGUUUGAACCGCAUGGUUCAAACAUAAAAGGUGGCUUCGGCUACCACUUACAGAUGGACCCGCGGCGCAUUAGCUAGUUGGUGAGGUAACGGCUCACCAAGGCAACGAUGCGUAGCCGACCUGAGAGGGUGAUCGGCCACACUGGGACUGAGACACGGCCCAGACUCCUAGGGAGGCAGCAGUAGGGAAUCUUCCGCAAUGGACGAAAGUCUGACGGAGCAACGCGCGUGAGUGAUGAAGGUUUUCGGAUCGUAAAGCUCUGUUGUUAGGGAAGAACAAGCCGUUCGAAUAGGGCGGUACCUUGACGGUACCUAACCAGAAAGCCACGGCUAACUAGUGCCAGCAGCCGCGGUAAUACGUAGGUGGCAAGCGUUGUCCGGAAUUAUUGGGCGUAAAGGGCUCGCAGGCGGUUUCUUAAGUCUGAUGUGAAAGCCCCCGGCUCAACCGGGGAGGGUCAUUGGAAACUGGGGAACUUGAGUGCAGAAGAGGAGAGUGGAAUUCCACGUGUAGCGGUGAAAUGCGUAGAGAUGUGGAGGAACACCAGUGGCGAAGGCGACUCUCUGGUCUGUAACUGACGCUGAGGAGCGAAAGCGUGGGGAGCGAACAGGAUUAGAUACCCUGGUAGUCCACGCCGUAAACGAUGAGUGCUAAGUGUUAGGGGGUUUCCGCCCCUUAGUGCUGCAGCUAACGCA